UCCCCCGGCCCCGGGGACACAGUGCCUGGUCUCAGUGGAGGCGCCAACUGGAAAGAGGAAAUAGCUGCCAGCGGGAAGGCUGGAAUUCUUGGGGGAGCCGGGAUUUCAGCUGGGCCCUAACAGAACCAGGGAGGUCGGGAGGCAGAGCCUUCGAGGCCGGAGGAGAGCCAGAGGGAAUGCCGGGAGCUAGAGAGUCGAGGGUCUUGGUGGAGCAGCCGGGAGGUCAGUCCCUGGAUCUGAGAGCAGAAAUUGGGGAGAGGCAUCGGAAGGCGGUCCGGGCAGGAGCGCUGGGUAGUGAAGGGCUGCAUUGCCCCGGGGCGAUGGGGGGCCAUUAGAGUUUACUGGCUGGGCUAGCAAGACGAGACCUGAGAUGGGGGAAAUCGCUUUAGUGACUGAGCCGGGGAGACACCUGGGGAGGAGAUGAGAAUCUGCCCCAAGAGAGCGGCUCUGUUAGAGGAGGGAAGGGAGUGUCAUGGAGAGUGGGGCUUGAGUGAAUCCAGGAGGAUCCCUAGCUUGGGAGCCUGAGGCAUUGCUGGGUUUUCUUGGCAGAGAUACUAGAGUGGUUUGCCAUUUCCACCUGCAGCUCAUUUUACAGACUGGCUUCUGAUCACUCACUCAAGAGAAACUGCUCUCUCUCCAUAGUUGCCAACAAUCUUUUAAUUGCCCAAUCUGUUGGUAUUUCCUCAAUUCUCAUGCUUUUUUUGAUCUCUGUCAUAUUUGACUUGGUUGACUCAUCAAUUCAAGAAACUUUUUUUAAGGACUUACUAUGUCCUAGACACCUCCAAACUCUGGAAAUACAAACAAGAAAAAGAAAGACAGUUCUUUCCCUCAAGGAGCUUACGGUCUAAUGGGGAAGUUUAUAAUUAGAAUCUGCUCCCCAGAACUUCAAUUCCCAGCAUCCCACUUUCAGUCUCACAUUAUGUCCUUACAUUUUGGAGAUAAAGUUUGUUUGUGACUAUGCCUCUUUUUUUUUUCCCCAUGAACUCGGGUGGGAAAACUUUACUCAAGGUUUUUACUUUUGCCCUUUUAUUUCUUCUAUUUCAAGUGAUUAUUAAUAAAUAUUAU
rnacentral:lncRNA from 1 species